rnacentral:rRNA from 1 species
GACGAACGCUGGCGGCGUGCUUAACACAUGCAAGUCGAACGGUGAAGGGACCGGUUUUUGCUGGUUCUGGAUGAGUGGCGAACGGGUGAGUAACACGUGAGUAACCUGCCCCCUUCUUCUGGAUAACCGCAUGAAAGUGUGGCUAAUACGGGAUAUUCUGCGCCUGCUGCAUGGUGGGUGUGGGAAAGAUAUUGUUUCGGUGGGGGAUGGGCUCGCGGCCUAUCAGCUUGUUGGUGGGGUGAUGGCCUACCAAGGCGGUGACGGGUAGCCGGCCUGAGAGGGUGGACGGUCACACUGGGGCUGAGCCACGGCCCAGACUCCUACGGGAGGCAGCAGUGGGGAAUAUUGCACAAUGGGCGCAAGCCUGAUGCAGCGACGCCGCGUGAGGGAUGGAGGCCUUCGGGUUGUAAACCUCUUUCGCCAGUGAAGCAGGCCUGUCCCUUUUGUGGGUGGGUUGACGGUAGCUGGAUAAGAAGCGCCGGCUAACUACGUG